UGUAAAAUCAUACCGGCGGGUAUUACUUUUUGUAAUAAACAAGGGGAAUCAUGUGAGAAUCAUGAGCUGUUGCGCAACUGUAAAGUAGACUUUUCUACAAGCCAGAUCACCUUCCCAACCGGGCUGACUUUU
rnacentral:ncRNA from 1 species